rnacentral:rRNA from 1 species
UACGUAGGCAGCGAGCGUUGUUCGGAAUUACUGGGCGUAAAGAGUGUGUAGGCGGUGCUCUAAGUUCGGUGUGAAAUCUCCCGCUUAACUGGGAGGGUGCGCCGGAAACUGGAGUGCUCGAGCGUGGGAGAGGAAAGCGGAAGUUCCUGGUGUAGCGGUGAAAUGCGUAGAUAUCAGGAGGAACACCUGCGGUGUAGACGGCUUUCUGGGGACGGUACUGACGCUGAGACGCGAAAGCGUUGGGGAGCGAACAGG